rnacentral:rRNA from 1 species
GAUGAACGCCGGCGGUGUGCCUAAUACAUGCAAGUCGAACGCGUUGGCCCAAUUGAUUGAUGGUGCUUGCACCUGAUUGAUUUUGGUCGCCAACGAGUGGCGGACGGGUGAGUAACACGUAGGUAACCUGCCCAGAAGCGGGGGACAACAUUUGGAAACAGAUGCUAAUACCGCAUAACAGCGUUGUUCGCAUGAACAACACUUAAAAGAUGGCUUCUCGCUAUCACUUCUGGAUGGACCUGCGGUGCAUUAGCUUGUUGGUGGGGUAACGGCCUACCAAGGCGAUGAUGCAUAGCCGAGUUGAGAGACUGAUCGGCCACAAUGGGACUGAGACACGGCCCAUACUCCUACGGGAGGCAGCAGUAGGGAAUCUUCCACAAUGGGCGCAAGCCUGAUGGAGCAACACCGCGUGAGUGAAGAAGGGUUUCGGCUCGUAAAGCUCUGUUGUUAAAGAAGAACACGUAUGAGAGUAACUGUUCAUACGUUGACGGUAUUUAACCAGAAAGUCACGGCUAACUACGUGCCAGCAGCCGCGGUAAUACGUAGGUGGCAAGCGUUAUCCGGAUUUAUUGGGCGUAAAGAGAGUGCAGGCGGUUUUCUAAGUCUGAUGUGAAAGCCUUCGGCUUAACCGGAGAAGUGCAUCGGAAACUGGAUAACUUGAGUGCAGAAGAGGGUAGUGGAACUCCAUGUGUAGCGGUGGAAUGCGUAGAUAUAUGGAAGAACACCAGUGGCGAAGGCGGCUACCUGGUCUGCAACUGACGCUGAGACUCGAAAGCAUGGGUAGCGGACAGG